CAGUAGCCACGGGAAUACGAAGGGGGCUAGCGUUGUUCGGAAUCACUGGGCGUAAAGGGUGCGUAGGCGGGAUCCUAAGUCAGGGGUGAAAUCCCGAGGCUCAACCUCGGAACUGCCUUUGAUACUGGGGUCCUUGAGUCCGGAAGAGGUGAGUGGAACUGCGAGUGUAGAGGUGAAAUUCGUAGAUAUUCGCAAGAACACCGGUGGCGGAGGCGGCUCACUGGUCCGGAACUGACGCUGAGGCACGACAGCGUGGGGAGCAAACAGGAUUAGAUACCCCUGUAGUCCCUGUCUCUUAUAC
rnacentral:rRNA from 1 species